UCGAGGAUCUUCCGCAAUGCGCGAAAGCGUGACGGAGCGACGCCGCGUGGGUGAUGAAGGCCUUCGGGUUGUAAAGCCCUGUCACCUGGGAAGAAUGACGGAGGGUGAAUAGCCUUUCGUUUGACGCUACCAGGAAAGGAAGCACCGGCUAAAUACGUGCCAGCAGCCGCGGUAAUACGUAUGGUGCGAACGUUGUUCGGAAUUACUGGGCAUAAAGAGCACGUAGGCGGCCGUGCAAGUCCGGUGUGAAAUCCCCCGGCUUAACUGGGGAACUGCACCGGAUACUACACGGCUUGAGUGCAGGAGGGGAGAGUGGAAUUCCAGGUGGAGCGGUGAAAUGCGUAGAUAUCUGGAGGAACGCCGGCGGCGAAAGCGACUCUCUGGUCUGUAACUGACGCUGAGGUGCGAAAGCUAGGGGAGCAAACGGGAUUAGAUACCCGGGUAGUCC
rnacentral:rRNA from 1 species